UAUCACUAAGCGGAGGAAAAGAAACUAACAAGGAUUCCCCUAGUAACUGCGAGUGAACAGGGAUUAGCCCAGCACCGAAGCCUGUGGUUAUUUGACUGCAAGGCAAUGUGGUGUUUAGGUUUGUUCUUGGCAUUACUGCUCUGCCCCAAGUCCAGCAAUGAGUACGGCAUACCGUUCUGGCCCAUAGAGGGUGAAAGGCCCGUGGGGGUAGAGACCAAGCAUGACAGUUUUGUCCAGAGCUUACCUUGGAGUCGGGUUGUUUGAGAAUGCAGCCCAAAGUGGGUGGUAAACUCCAUCCAAGGCUAAAUACUUGCACGAGUCCGAUAGUAAACAAGUACCGUGAGGGAAAGUUGAAAAGUACUUUGAAGAGAGAGUAAACAGUGCGUGAAACCGCUCAGAGGUAAACGGGUGGAGUUGAACUGCGAUCCUUGGGAAUUCAGCUGAUGAGCAUGAUUUGUGCUUGGGCAUAUUGACCGCCUUUCAGUGUCUGCUUAGCUGCGGGUGCCUGCCUCUGGUGGGUAUGUGUGGUGCGCUUAUCAUGUGCCGCACGCAUUGGAGGGUGUAUGAGUCUGCUUGUCGGUGCACUUUCUCAGGGUGUUCAUCACGACCGGCACUGCUGUCUGUCUGCUUUGGUCAAACUGAUCAGGUCUGAUUAACGUUGGGCUUGGUUGGGUUGGCAGGUGACUCACUGGUCCAUUCUGUGGGCUAUGAGUGUUACUAGCCGGCCUUAGUGGAUCUGUACGGUGUGUCGGAGACGGCGGCUUUGCAUAUGCGCUCUGUCCUUCAGGCGUGGUUGAGUCUGGUCGACUCGUUGCUAGUUUCGGCUGGUCAGUUGAUGGCUUGAUCAUGUUCAGUUGGCAGUGGUGUGUGUGUCUUAGUUUGGGCCAAUAGUCUGUGGUGUUGUGGUAGACUAUCCACCUGACCCGUCUUGAAACACGGACCAAGGAGUUUAACAUGUGCGCGAGUCAUUGGGCUUUACGAAACCCAAAGGCGCAGUGAGGGUAAAGGCUUGGCUUGUCCAGGCUGAGGUGAGAUCCUGUUGUUUUGCUCAUUCAUUCCAAGCUGCGAGCAGCAGGCGCAUCACCGGCCCGUCCCAUGACGUAGACAUGUGGCCUUGUGCUAUGUGCACCGUCGGGGCGGAGCAAGAGCGUACAUGUUGAGACCCGAAAGAUGGUGAACUAUGCUUGCGAAGGUUGGAGCCAGAGGAAACUCUGGUGGAGGACCGUAGCGAUUCUGACGUGCAAAUCGAUCGUAUAACGUGAGUAUAGGGGCGAAAGACUAAUCGAACCAUCUAGUAGCUGGUUCCCUC
rnacentral:rRNA from 1 species